GCACUGGAACAACACAGAUGAGAUAUUCUACACAUUAAUCUACUUAUCUGGAAUCACUUUGCCUCUAAAGGCCAGAGAAAAAUCACAGCUUCCUUGUCGGAGGGGAAAAGGACAGGUGAUCUGGGGAAAACGCAGCUACACCUGGAGCAAGGUCUCUUCCCGGCUUGGCAAUCUCAGCUGUGCCGGCGCUACGGGACCCGAGCCGUCCCAGAAACCAAAGGGCAGGCACGGCAGCAAACGCCUGAGCCUGCCUUGUACUUCAUGCAGGUUGAACAGAAAUGUUUUCUGAGCAUGUAUUGUUACAGCCCUCUGAGAUGGUAUAAAAGAAUGAAAGAAGACACGACCUGCCUUCCAGGAGUUUCACAAAAAAGAUGGGAUGAACACAGUGUUCACUUCCACCUUCCACCCUUUCACUAUGAAGGACCCUCACCAGAUGGUGGCACCAUGCUCUCGGACUUCCCAGCCUCCAGAACUGGACGGGUAAAUUGAAGCAAAAAGCAGACAAGUUCUAUGGGAUUUGCUGGCAUUGAUUUCCCAGGAUGGCAAAGUGCUAAGAACUAAACCUUUAAAGCUAACAAAAUGUACUGAUGUCUUUGCAAAGUAUCCAAGACCAACAAGAAAGUAAUUUCCCACCUCACCCUACCACCACCCAGAAAAGGAGCACAGAGAUGGGGAAGAGAGUGGCUGCAUCUGGCAUCCAGCCAGAGGAGUCCGUGCAGGGAUUCUGGAUCCCUCUUCCCCCACCCCACUGCCCUUCCCCCUCCACCCCAGCGUUUUGGAGAAGCAAGAAACUGUGAUGAUGCAGCUCCCUCAAGUAUCACAUGAAGAUAGUGGAAAGAGCCUCCUGAGGUAAAUAUGCCAUGUAGACAGAAACAAGCAAUGGCUCAACAGCAAUGUAUGAGGUCCAAGGACCAGGACCAAAGGGAAAAACAGCCAUCUCACCAGACACCUGCCUACGACCAGAUGCGUCAUCUCCAAUAUUAGCUAACUCCCUGGAACCUGGACUCAAGGUGUGAAAUAAAGGUUAAUGGGAAACCGCAGGAGUCAAAAGGAGGGGGCAGGAUUAUUGAGGAUUCAGGCUGUUGAGAAAUGAAAGUUUGGAUCACUCCCCAGAUAAAGAACCUUGACCAUUUAAGGGCAAUGGAAAUACAGAAUAGGCAGUAGAAGAAGGAAGCCAUAGAUACCAACUAUGGCCUCUCAAUCAAUUACAAAACUGAGAAUUCUGACAGUUUUGUGUAUUUCCUCUUUGCAUGUGAUGUAUAUGUGUGUAUUUGUAUAUAUUAACCAUUUUCCUUUUUCUCUCUUCAUUAUUUUAUGAAAGUUGUUGAAUAUAAACUCUACAAUUUAGCCUUUAGGUAAGAGAAUAUUCAGUGGGACUUUGAUUUGAGGAGUAUUUAAGACAGCCAGAUGAGACUACGAUAACUGUUGGAACUGUGUGUCUCCUCAUUUGGGGAAAGGGGUGAGAACUCUGCAUUUCUCUGAAGAACAGAGUUGACUUUGUGUUAUACAGAGUUCAAAUAUAUAUAUAAAAUGGUGCAUGUGGAAGCUAAGAAGCCAAAGGAGUUCACCAAGACAGUUAUCAAUAUAUUGCCUCUCCGCUCCAAAUCCACCCUUCUUUGCCCUGUUCCACGAUACUAAUCUGGCUCCUCGGUCAGCCAGUGCAAUGUCAUCUGUUGCUGGUAGAGUGUAGGGGAGACACUACAAGGUAUAGUAAAGGGGUCAGAUGCGGUGUCUCAUGCCUGUAAUCACAGCCCUUUGGGAGGCAGAGGCAGGAGGAUCACCUGAGGCCAGGAGUUUGAGACCAGCCUGGACAACAUGGUAAAACCCCAUCUCUACUGAAAAUACAAAAUUAGCACGCACCUGUAAUCCCAGCUACUCGGGAGGCUGAGGCAGGAGAAUCACUUGAACCUGGGAGGUGGAGGUUGCAGUGAGCCAAGAUCGCAUCAUUGCACUCCAGCCAGGGAAAAAAGGCAAAACUCUGUCUCAAAAAAAUAAAUAAAUAAAAUAAAAUAAAACAAGGUAUAGCAAAU
rnacentral:lncRNA from 1 species